UUUGGUACGACAUUGCUCACAUUGCUUCCAGUAUUAUUUGCCCGCCUCGCGCGGGCUUUUUUU
rnacentral:antisense_RNA from 1 species